UUUUUCCUUCAGCUUUUUCAUGUCAAACAAUCACAUGCUGCCCUUUUCUUGAGCAUAACUGAUGAAAGAACAAGCUCAUCACGGUCACACCUGAGACCAAAGUUCUGCAAGCAAUGCAACUGAUGACAGAUAACCGUUUUAGACACAAUUCGGUGACCAAUGAGAAGGAAAUGAUCGGCAUGGUUUCCAUCGGAGAUGUUGUUCGUGCUGUGCUGAGUGAGCAUCGUGCAGAGCUGGACCGCUUGAACGCUUUCAUGUAGGGAGGAUAUUAGAUGAUGAUGAUGAUAAAAUAUUGUAUGUUUAACCCGUUGGACUUAAGCAAGCAAGCGGAGAGUUUGCAAAUGUGCUGUGUUUUUUAGAUUCUUCUCAAGUUCUUCUGUGAAUGUGCAAGUGAUGUUGGAAUAAUUCCCGUGUGGACCAAGUGUUCAAUAGUAAACAUUCUCAUGUUGCUUCUUCCUAUU